GGGGGCUAGCGUUGCUCGGAAUCACUGGGCGGAAAGCGCACGUAGGCGGAUUGUUAAGUCAGGGGUGAAAUCCUGGAGCUCAACUCCAGAACUGCCUUUGAUACUGGCGAUCUCGAGUCCGGGAGAGGUGAGUGGAACUGCGAGUGUAGAGGUGAAAUUCGUAGAUAUUCGCAAGAACACCAGUGGCGAAGGCGGCUCACUGGCCCGGUACUGACGCUGAGGUGCGAAAGCGUGGGGAGCAAACAGG
rnacentral:rRNA from 1 species